rnacentral:rRNA from 1 species
UACGUAGGGUGCGAGCGUUUGUCCGGAAUUAUUGGGCGUAAAGGGCUCGUAGGCGGUUUGUCGCGUCGGGAGUGAAAACCAGGUGCUUAACACCUGGCUUGCUUUCGAUACGGGCAGACUAGAGGUAUGCAGGGGAGAACGGAAUUCCUGGUGUAGCGGUGAAAAUGCGCAGAUAUCAGGAGGAACACCAAUGGCGAAGGCAGCACUCUGGGACGGUACUGACGCUGAGACGCGAAAAGCGUGGGGAGCGAACAGG